UUCCUUUCCCCACAGUGCUGUUUUGAUCUUGGGAAAGUUGUUGCAGCCCCCAUUCUGAAGGGUCAGGCUGCCUUAGGACUAGCGAAUGACUAGGGCCAUUAGCGACACAGACAUCAACAUGAUGGAAGGCAAAUGGCGUUUAUUGCAACUACACAGCAGCUUAUAUAGCCUACGUGCUUCGUCUACGCCCCUAAAGCAUGCGUCAUAAAUCCACCACAGAGCAGGGGAGGUCCUGACACGUCACAUCCUGAUAACCCCACUUUACGCCUGCUACAACAGGGAAGUCCCCUUCUUCUCUUGCACAGUUUCAUCCCUGCUGGAUGAGGAUGAUGAAGAUUCAUGCGCUGUUUCUCCUUGAAGGACUCUGGAAGGGCAGUGUUAGCUAUGUGCAGAGUUGUGGUGCCGCCGUGUUCUGCAGGACUUCCUUCUUUCGCUCUGAGUUCUCUCCAGUCGGGCCUGUUUUUGGGAUGCUGUGUAUUCACAGGCUUGUGUCCCAGGAAAGGUGCAUGGAAGAGAUGGUGGCAGAGGAAGCCCAGCACAGCCAGCUCCUCACUGCAGUUCUGUAUGGGGAGAAGUGCUGUGCCUGGCUCGACUGCAUGACAAGCUUGGCUUCGGCUGGUUUUCAGAGGAAAAUGCAAGUACUUGUGCUAAUGGAAAAAGUCCUAGAUGCCAGCAAAAAUGCUUGAACAUCAGCUGUGUUUGAUGGGUCUCCAUUCAGCGAUGGCUUUUUGCCUGCUUAAUUAUUUUCUAAGUUCUUUAAGCCAUGAGAUCUGCUCUGUGCUGUUCUCCCACCAGUCAAAUUACCCUAUUUCCUUCAGAACUCUCCCUCACUCAGGAGCUGGCACUUUGCUGCUAGUUUUACCUCUCCUUAACAUUGUAGCCCGUCCCUGUUCUGUUGGCCUGCAUACCAGUCGAUGUCCCUUUUAUGUCAGUGCUGUUCUUAACACUGGAAAUUGCAUUUUCCCCCUUCUGGUCAGGAUGUGAUACAGAAGCAGAAGCUGACUGACAGCUGAUUUUUCUGCAGGUUUUCUGCAGCGCUCAUGCAAAUGGUGUACGGCUGUUCAGCAAAAUAAGACGACUUUUUCACGUUCCUUUGGCUUUUACCCAUGACCAUUUUUUUUCUGCUUGUUGGCAGAACGGUGAGGAUGGGAUUGCAUGAUGGGAUUAUGAGUAUUUCUAAACUAAAGGCCCUGACAGAUCCUUGGCACUUAAAGCUGUUAUGAUGCCUUAUCAGAUGGAUCAGAAAUGCAGACUGGACUAUCUCACUGGCUGAUUCAUUGGCCGAACGCUGACAUUUCAAACCCACAAGCUCGU